ACUCAAAUGAAUAGACGGGGGCCCGCACAAGCGGAGGAACAUGUGGUUUAAUUCGAUGAUACGCGAGGAACCUUACCCGGGCUCAAACGCAGAAGGAAUGUAAGGGAAACUUUACAGCCGCCAGGCCGUCUGCGAGGUGCUGCAUGGUUGUCGUCAGCUCGUGCCGUGAGGUGUCGGCUUAAGUGCCAUAACGAGCGCAACCCUUAUUGUUAGUUGCCAGCGGGUAAUGCCGGGGACUCUAGCAAAACUGCCAGCGUAAGCUGUGAGGAAGGUGGGGAUGACGUCAAAUCAGCACGGCCCUUACGUCCGGGGCGACACACGUGUUACAAUGGGAGGUACAGAAGGUUGCUACCACGCGAGUGGAUGCUAAUCCCAAAAGCCUCUCUCAGUUCGGAUCGAAGUCUGCAACUCGACUUCGUGAAGCUGGAUUCGCUAGUAAUCGCGCAUCAGCCAUGGCGCGGUGAAUACGUUCCCGGGCCUUGCACACACCGCCCGU
rnacentral:rRNA from 1 species